rnacentral:sRNA from 1 species
GGAUGGAAGCUGCGGCCGCGGAGUGAUGGUGGCCUCAGCGAAGAUGGGCCGGGCAGGGACCAUGGCGGUGGCAGCAGAGGUGGCAGGGGCGGGGCGGCUGGCGGUAGAGGAGGCUGUGGUCCUCAGGGGGCUGUAGGUGGAGGUAUGGCUCGGGCCAGCAGCGGGAACGGCAGCGAGGAGGCCUGGGGGGCACUUCGGGCGCCGCAACAGCAGGUAUCCCAAUAGCUCCAAAACCUAUCACGACAGCCAUUUGUCUCUUUCCCCUUUCCUUGUCCCUUCUUUUUGGGGGUGGGGGAGGAACUCACGGAGCCACAGGUACUGUGAAGUUCCUAAACAUGUCUCUUCCACUCUUUGUCUAAACUUUGUAACGUAGAUGCAGCUGACUUUGCCUGUAGCCUCAUAGACCCCAUCCCAUGGCUGCAGUGGAAGCUUGCGGUGGCUCUCCAGUGACCAGAGGCAUAGUGAGGUCCCAGGGAGGCUCCCUCUGUCUUGCAACAGUUAUUUGUGAUCUUUUUCUAUGUGCCUAUUGUCACAACAGAGUCCGGCAGCGUCUUCUCUUGAGGGAGCAAUUUGGAGAAGAGCUGGAACCCAGACUCGCGCCCUGGAUGCCAUCCUUUAUCAUCCACAGCAAUCCCAUCUGGUUGGGAGCACUGCUCUGGGUCUCACACUGCCCCUCCUCUAUCCUAGGGGGCCUGAGGCCCAGGGGUGGAAAGAUCCAGUUGCGGGUGGGGGGUAGUGAACCGUGCAGGAUAAUGAAAGCAACUUGCUUUGGAAAUGACCUACCGCUACCCAUUGUCUGAGACUGAGAUUAUCUCAGACUGUCUUCUGGCUUCUGCCAAAACACUCCCUUAACAGAAAGCACCGAGGGGAUGGGGGUAGGGGGGUUGGGGAGGGUGAGGCUUGAGUGUGAAGGAAGUCUCAUAUAUGCAGAGCUGAAAUCUCCCUCUUUGUAUGUCCACACUUUUGUCUUGUUCUCUAGACUGAUUCUUGCUAUUCCAAAUCCUCUUCCACGUUGACAGCCCUUCAGAUAUUUCAACACUCCUCUCAGCAUCCUCCACUUCCCCCAUCUCUCCAAGCUGAACUUGGUUCACAGGGUGGGAUUGUGUAUGUGCAUGCAGGAGGUGGGGGUGGACAGUGCCCUGGGCUGGAAUCCCCCUUAGUUCUAAGUGCCUCCUUGCCCGCAGCUUCGAGAGCUGUGCCCAGGAGUGAACAACCAGCCCUAUCUCUGUGAGAGUGGUCACUGCUGCGGGGAGACUGGCUGCUGCACCUACUACUAUGAGCUCUGGUGGUUCUGGCUGCUCUGGACUGUCCUCAUCCUCUUUAGCUGCUGUUGCGCCUUCCGCCACCGACGAGCUAAACUCAGGCUGCAACAACAGCAGCGGCAGCGUGAAAUCAACUUGUUGGCCUAUCAUGGGGCAUGCCAUGGGGCUGGUCCUUUCCCUACCGGUUCACUGCUUGACCUUCGCCUCCUCAGCACCUUCAAGCCCCCAGCCUAUGAGGAUGUGGUUCACCGCCCAGGCACACCACCCCCGCCUUAUACUGUGGCCCCAGGCCGCCCCUUGACUGCUUCCAGUGAACAAUCCUGCUGUUCCUCCUCAUCCAGCUGCCCUGCCCACUUUGAAGGAACAAAUGUGGAAGGUGUUUCCUCCCACCAGAGUGCCCCCCAUCAUCAGGAUGGUGAGCCUGGGGCAGGGGUGACCCCUGCCCCCACACCCCCCUCCUGCCGCUAUCGCCGUUUAACUGGCGACUCCGGUAUUGAGCUCUGCCCUUGUCCUGCCUCCGGUGAGGGUGAGCCAGUCAAGGAGGUGAGGGUUAGUGCCACCCUGCCAGAUCUGGAGGACUACUCCCCGUGUGCACUGCCCCCAGAUUCUGUACCGCAGAUCUUUCCCAUGGGGCUGUCUUCCAGUGAAGGAGACAUCCCAUAAGUAGUUUUGAGAGGGUGGAUGGGUUACUUGCCCACCAGAAACAGUCCUAGUCCCAACUCCUUGCAUUCCUUUUGGCCCCUCCCUGCCUACCUAGAAUCUGCCUGAAAGGGCUGGAGCCCUGAGGAGAGGGGCAGUAUUGGGGGACUGUGGUAGCUUUACCCCCGCAAGACAUACACAGGAGCCUUUGAUCUCAUUAAAGAGAUGUGAACCAGC